GUUCCUGCUUCAAGUCCUCGAGCAGUGCGUCCAACUGAUCGACGUUCUGAUCGGCGCCCUUGCCUUGGUAGGAUGCAUUGUUAUCGGCCGAGCUAGAGUAUUGAUACGAUGAUUUCUUGUACGCAUAAUUCUUGUCGUUCUGUGGAUGGAUAUGAGAUCGUGUUUGAAAUAAGGAAUGCAAAAUAUCAACAGCUUUUACUUACACGUCCGUUCCAUUUCGAGGGCGUAUCUCUCAACGAGGAUGAGUAAUUUUCCGAGCUGCUCGAGUACUGCAUUUCCAAUUAUUGUUUUCUGCUGGAAUAUGACAUCAACCGAAAAUAUUCAGAAAAUAUUUAAAAUUUACAUUAUGCAUGAUGAUUUAGCGAUAACCUUGAGUGAGAUUUCAAUGAAUGACUUUGUAUGAGGCGCAUGUGAGAGAAUAACAGAUGCAAAAGAUUCGUAUGGCAAACACAAGGAUGACCGAAGAUGACAUCAUCUGAGACAUAAACAAAUACUCGACUGACUUGCACGUAACUAAAAUAAAUCACGACAAAUCAAACUCAAAUCAAAUGAGUAGCUAGUUGCUUGGGCGAAAUACUCGUGAUGUUCUGCGCGCCUGCCGCCAUAUGGUCAAGAGUUUAGCCAAUCAAGCAGCUAACGUAGGCAAAAUAUGUGCACAUAUCAAAAAAAAAAAAAAAACAUCAUAAUAUAAAGGCUAAAUCAAAUUGACGCUUGGAUCACACACAGCACGUUUUUUAGUGGCGCUAUGGGCUAAAUUUCAAAAUUAAAACCAAAAAAAAAAAUGUGUAUUUUUUUCAAAGCAAUAACAAAACUGGUCAACCAGAGCGCAAGUCGAAGCGUGUGAUGCGUGUGUUUGUUUUUGCAUAUUGCUCUUGUUGUUGUUUUACAGUUCAAAAUGAUCUCAUAUAAUCGGAACGAGAGACAAAAAGAGGGAACAUACUGCUGCCGCUGCUGCUGCUACUGCUAGUGUCUGGCAUUGGAGUGGGCGUGACGUAAAGGCAGGGGCCGGGGGAAGCAGCGACUCGCAAAAUGCCAGCGGCCAAGAUCUAUAUACAUACAUACACACACUAACACACAUGUAUACUCAUACAUGUGUUUAUAUAUAUGUACAUAACUGUAUGUAAGAACGAGCAAACAUAAAAUAAACAAAAUAGCAAACGAACAAGCUUGAACUGGCCGAAAAGAGCAAAGCUAA